rnacentral:rRNA from 1 species
UACGGAGGGGGCGAGCGUUAUUCGGAAUCACUGGGCGUAAAGGGUGCGUAGGCGGUUCUUUAAGUCCGGGGUGAAAUCCUGGAGCUCAACUCCAGAACUGCCUUUGAUACUGAAGAUCUUGAGUUCGGGAGAGGUGAGUGGAACUGCGAGUGUAGAGGUGAAAUUCGUAGAUAUUCGCAAGAACACCAGUGGCGAAGGCGGCUCACUGGCCCGAUACUGACGCUGAGGCACGAAAGCGUGGGGAGCAAACAGG